GGCCGAUGAUUAAACAAAAUUUUAUAGACAAGCAUAUGUCUGAAUCUAUAUGUGUGGAACAAUCUAAUCUUCUCUAUGAGGCC
rnacentral:snoRNA from 1 species